rnacentral:rRNA from 2 species
AAUCCAUAGGUUAAUGAGGCGAACCGGGGGAACUGAAACAUCUAAGUACCCCGAGGAAAAGAAAUCAACCGAGAUUCCCCCAGUAGCGGCGAGCGAACGGGGAGGAGCCCAGAGCCUGAAUCAGCAUGUGUGUUAGUGGAAGCGUCUGGAAAGGCGCGCGAUACAGGGUGACAGCCCCGUACACAAAAGCGCAUGUGCUGUGAGCUCGAUGAGUAGGGCGGGACACGUGGUAUCCUGUCUGAAUAUGGGGGGACCAUCCUCCAAGGCUAAAUACUCCUGACUGACCGAUAGUGAACCAGUACCGUGAGGGAAAGGCGAAAAGAACCCCGGCGAGGGGAGUGAAAAAGAACCUGAAACCGUGUACGUACAAGCAGUGGGAGCACAGGUUUACCUGUGUGACUGCGUACCUUUUGUAUAAUGGGUCAGCGACUUAUAUUCUGUAGCAAGGUUAACCGAAUAGGGGAGCCGGAGGGAAACCGAGUCUUAAUUGGGCGUUAAGUUGCAGGGUAUAGACCCGAAACCCGGUGAUCUAGCCAUGGGCAGGUUGAAGGUUGGGUAACACUAACUGGAGGACCGAACCGACUAAUGUUGAAAAAUUAGCGGAUGACCUGUGGCUGGGGGUGAAAGGCCAAUCAAACCGGGAGAUAGCUGGUUCUCCCCGAAAGCUAUUUAGGUAGCGCCUCGUGAAUUCAUCUCCGGGGGUAGAGCACUGUUUCGGCUAGGGGGCCAUCCCGGCUUACCAACCCGAUGCAAACUGCGAAUACCGGAGAAUGUUAUCACGGGAGACACACGGCGGGUGCUAACGUCCGUCGUGAAGAGGGAAACAACCCAGACCGCCAGCUAAGGUCCCAAAGUCAUGGUUAAGUGGGAAACGAUGUGGGAAGGCCCAGACAGCCAGGAUGUUGGCUUAGAAGCAGCCAUCAUUUAAAGAAAGCGUAAUAGCUCACUGGUCGAGUCGGCCUGCGCGGAAGAUGUAACGGGGCUAAACCAUGCACCGAAGCUGCGGCAGCGACGCUUAUGCGUUGUUGGGUAGGGGAGCGUUCUGUAAGCCUGCGAAGGUGGCCUGUGAGGG